rnacentral:rRNA from 1 species
AUGAGAUACGCGGCUGAAAGAUCGCCCGCCGGCGUCCAGAAGCCCAACACAGGGAGGUUCAAUGUGUUGGUGCAUGUCGGCGGGGCCAUCUAUGUCGUGUACAAGCACAUAUACAUGGGCGGCGGUGACAGGGCCUUGCUUCCAUCAUCCAUCACCAUUCUCGCCGUCGGUGUUGCCAAGUAUGUGGAGAGGGUACUGGCGCUUUGGCAAGGCAACCUGGGCAACAUCCGGAGCUCAAGCAAGAAGAAGAAGAAGAAGAAGAGGCAACGAAGGAGAUACACCGAUGGCUCGGGCUCCGCAAGCGGAACGGUGCUGGACAAUGAGCAAGCCCUGAUGGUUGCCCACGACAUGUUCCCGUUCUGCCAGCGUGCAAUGACCGAUUCUUCUGUCAACAUGGAUUCAUCUGACCUUGAAGCAACCAAAGUCAUGUUCUCUUUUGGGUGGGAGAGUAUGUGCAAGGUGGUGGAGAUGGAGCUUUCUCUCAUGUACGACAUCCUCUACACCAAGGCAGCCAUGGUCCACACCUGGGUCGGCUACUCGAUCCGGCUUGGUUCACCGGUCGCCACCUUCACGGCGCUGGUUCUGUUUCUGCUGUACAGCAAAGACGGCCAGAGGAGAGCACUGAUGCAUGGCAGGAGCGCGGCUGCGGCACAUGCCAAGGCCAUCAAGGCGCUGUCCGAGUACCUGAUGUUCCUCGUCGCCGUGCGCCGGCACAUGCUACCGGGCCUUGUUCUUCGCAGCCUGUAUGAAGUGACCUUCGAUGCUUUGCAGGACAUUGGGCGCAAACAGGCCGUCAGCAGCCGUUCGACGACGACCGGCAGGGAGAGGGAGGGGAAGCUUGCAAGGACUCUGCGUGACAAGAUGGAUGCAGAUGGCGAGUGGGGUUUGGAUCAUGAUAAAACCCGUCUCGUCUCCGACGGAGCAAAUAUUGCCAUGGCGCUGCUAGAGGCCGAUGAGUCGGAGAUGCCGGAGGUGCUGGAGCUCGUCUUCAACGUGUGGGUGGACAAGCUGUUGUACGCGGGCACCCGAUGCAGCCGGGAAUCCCAUGCCAGGCAGCUCAGCCGAGGGGGUGAGCUCACGACCGUCGUCUGGAUUUUGGCACAACAUGUUGGCCCGUUUCAGAUCGGCCAAUGCGUUCCAGAUGAUAAGAAACGAGAUCUUCCUCCACCGUGCCCGCUUCCGGUACCCAAGGCCAUGGAGGAACCUUAUCCGCCACCGUUCAUGAUGUAUCUUCCGCCGUCGACCGCACCGUGGCUACCGUCGCCGCAAUACGUCGAACCACCCAAAAAGGAGGAACCUUGUCCGCCGCCGUUCAUGUAUCCUCCACCGUCGACUGCACCGUGGCCACCACUGCCGGAGAGUCCGCUGCCGCCACCACCGCCACCCAUGGAGAGGCGUAGACGGUAUGCUACGCUGUAUCCAGUGGACUGA